AAAUUUGUGAAGGCUUGCAGUUGGUGUCACGCUAAACGAAACUUGUGCGAUUAGCGAGAAUCAUGCGCUAAGCGAGGCACUCAGCCCGCUUAGCGAGUUUGGAGAAUCUGGAGGAGAAUCUGAGAAGCAUCUGCGGGUCAUCAGCUCGCUUAGCGAGGCAUUUUUCUCUUCCUGCGCUAAGCACACUUAGCUCGCACAACGG
rnacentral:lncRNA from 1 species